UGACCUCGGAUCAGGUAGUAAUACCCGCUGAACUUAAGCAUAU
rnacentral:rRNA from 1 species